UCAUGUUUCCAUGGUAAGGUCUAUAGC
rnacentral:piRNA from 1 species